UUGAACUCAGGGACACUUAACCACUGAGUCACAUCCCCAGCCCUUUUUUUUUAUUUUUUAUUUUGAGACAGGGUCUCAUUAAGUUGCUUAGAGCUGUGCUAAAUUGCUGAGACUGGCUUUGAACUUGUGAUCCUCCUGCCUCAGCCUCCUGAGCCUCUGGGAUUACAGUCAUAAACUUCCUGACUAUGUGGGCCUGGGCCCAAGAAGGCUUCAUAGACCCCUGGGUGUACCCACGGUGUGAGCCAAGUGUUUACUCUGGCCUUGAUGCCAGCGGCUCUGCCCUCCCAGGUUUCAGCAGUGUGGAGCAUGAAGCUGAUGAGCAGGGCCAACAUGGGCAAGGUGGAAGCCAGAGUGUGCUGUCUCUGGUCAGACAAGAUGAACCACAGGCCUGAUAUUACUGUGGGGUCCAGGAGCCACUCCCACUGGGCCAUGCCAGCCCACUCUGUGAAUGGCUUUGAGUCUUAAUUUCCUCUUUGAAUAGGUUUUCUAAAAAAUAAGCUUUUUAGUUGUAGAAAGUUUAUGGUUUUUAGAAUGAUGAUUUGAAAUAAAGCAAAUAUUGGUAAAAUGC